AUUGUAAUCAGCGUCAGUAAACAGUAAUUUAUUACAACUUUCAACAACGGAUCUCUUGGUUCUGGCAUCGAUGAAGAACGCAGCGAAAUGCGAUACGUAGUGUGAAUUGCAGAAUUCAGUGAAUCAUCGAAUCUUUGAACGCACAUUGCGCCCUUUGG
rnacentral:rRNA from 1 species